rnacentral:rRNA from 1 species
GGGAGCUUGCUCCCUGAUGUUAGCGGCGGACGGGUGAGUAACACGUGGGUAACCUGCCUGUAAGACUGGGAUAACUCCGGGAAACCGGGGCUAAUACCGGAUGGUUGUUUGAACCGCAUGGUUCAAACAUAAAAGGUGGCUUCGGCUACCACUUACAGAUGGACCCGCGGCGCAUUAGCUAGUUGGUGAGGUAACGGCUCACCAAGGCAACGAUGCGUAGCCGACCUGAGAGGGUGAUCGGCCACACUGGGACUGAGACACGGCCCAGACUCCUACGGGAGGCAGCAGUAGGGAAUCUUCCGCAAUGGACGAAAGUCUGACGGAGCAACGCCGCGUGAGUGAUGAAGGUUUUCGGAUCGUAAAGCUCUGUUGUUAGGGAAGAACAAGUACCGUUCGAAUAGGGCGGUACCUUGACGGUACCUAACCAGAAAGCCACGGCUAACUACGUGCCAGCAGCCGCGGUAAUACGUAGGUGGCAAGCGUUGUCCGGAAUUAUUGGGCGUAAAGGGCUCGCAGGCGGUUUCUUAAGUCUGAUGUGAAAGCCCCCGGCUCAACCGGGGAGGGUCAUUGGAAACUGGGGAACUUGAGUGCAGAAGAGGAGAGUGGAAUUCCACGUGUAGCGGUGAAAUGCGUAGAGAUGUGGAGGAACACCAGUGGCGAAGGCGACUCUCUGGUCUGUAACUGACGCUGAGGAGCGAAAGCGUGGGGAGCGAACAGGAUUAGAUACCCUGGUAGUCCACGCCGUAAACGAUGAGUGCUAAGUGUUAGGGGGUUUCCGCCCCUUAGUGCUGCAGCUAACGCAUUAAGCACUCCGCCUGGGGAGUACGGUCGCAAGACUGAAACUCAAAGGAAUUGACGGGGGCCCGCACAAGCG